UACGUAGGGCGCAAGCGUUGUCCGGAAUUAUUGGGCGUAAAGAGCUCGUAGGCGGCCAGUUGCGUCUGCUGUGAAAUCCCGGGGCUCAACCCCGGGCCGUGCAGUGGAUCGGGCUGGCUAGAGGCAGGCAGGGGGAGAACGGAAUUCCCGGUGUAGCGGUGAAAUGCGCAGAUAUCGGGAGGAACACCGGUGGCGAAGGCGGUUCUCUGGGCCUGUACUGACGCUGAGGAGCGAAAGCGUGGGGAGCGAACAGG
rnacentral:rRNA from 1 species